AGCUAUCAUACCAGACAAGAAUAUACUCAGAGGUUUUCAGGAAUCCAUUCCCCCACGUUCCUCUAAGAGAUUACCAAUAGCCAUCCAACUUUUCCAUCCUUAUCGGACCUAUUAGAUCUACAACCAUUCAAUUAUACUACCAAGUCUGCCAUUACCAGCCAUGCACACUGCCUUAUAUGGCUUUCUCAGGCCAGAGAAUCCACUACCAUCACCACCACUCAGACAGAUCAUUGUCUUCAAUGAUCCCACGUACGUAAACACAUAUAUCAUUACCUAUUGG